AGUGAACGCUGGCGGUAGGCCUAACACAUGCAAGUCGAACGGCAGCACAGUAAGCGCUUGCUCUUACGGGUGGCGAGUGGCGGACGGGUGAGGAAUACAUCGGAAUCUACUUUUUCGUGGGGGAUAACGUAGGGAAACUUACGCUAAUACCGCAUACGACCUACGGGUGAAAGCAGGGGAUCUUCGGACCUUGCGCGAUUGAAUGAGCCGAUGUCGGAUUAGCUAGUUGGCGGGGUAAAGGCCCACCAAGGCGACGAUCCGUAGCUGGUCUGAGAGGAUGAUCAGCCACACUGGAACUGAGACACGGUCCAGACUCCUACGGGAGGCAGCAGUAGGGAAUAUUGGACAAUGGGCGCAAGCCUGAUCCAGCCAUACCGCGUGGGUGAAGAAGGCCUUCGGGUUGUAAAGCCCUUUUGUUGGGAAAGAAAAGCAGCAGGUUAAUACCCCGCUGUUCUGACGGUACCCAAAGAAUAAGCACCGGCUAACUUCGCG
rnacentral:rRNA from 1 species